GGUUUUAUGGUCUAUUGGUCAGGACACUGGACCCCGGAUCCCAUAACCCGGGUUCAAGUCUUGGUAGAUCCU
rnacentral:tRNA from 1 species